UCAAGUAAAUAAAUUGAAAAACCGUAAAAGAAAUGGAUGCUGCUGAUGUUGGUGUUUGGCAACACUUUUUCUAAACAGAAUUGUGCGUAUGCAAUACAAGGCGAGACAGUUAGUCAGACUCACUAAAAGUCAAACCUAAAGGCUCACAUACUGACUGACUCUUGGUACCACACUUUCGAAGAACAAAGAACGCAAAAACCGAAGCAACAACUACAAGAACAACAGCAAUAUAAGCUCAUCUGUGGGUAUUUGCUUAAAUAGUUAUUUGGAGAGCAGCAAAGCAAAGUAAAAACGAAAUAAUUUCACAUGUGGUUUGAUGGAAGAGACAGCAUGGAUGGAUGAAUAGAUGGAUGGGUGCCUGUUUGCUUGCUCUACAUUAAUUCGCCCACCCACCAACAACAACAACAACAUCAUCAACAUCCAACUACCCCCAUGCUAACCUCGACAACCAUAAAAGGUGUGGUGUGGUCUGGUCUAUAACGGCGACAGCAAAUUGCCAGUAUUUAGUUACUGAGAGUUUUAAACACCAACAAACACCACCUCCACCUUACCAAGAAAACAACAACAAACAUACAACCGAACG